UACGGAGGGUGCAAGCGUUGCUCGGAAUUAUUGGGCGUAAAGGGUAGGUAGGUGGUCUCAUUUGUCUGGGGUGAAAGCCUCGAGCUUAACUCAAGAAGUGCCCCAGAAACGGUGAGACUAGAGUCUUGGAGAGGGUCGUGGAAUUCCCGGUGUAGCGGUGAAAUGCGUAGAGAUCGGGAGGAACACCAGAGGCGAAAGCGGCGACCUGGACAAGUACUGACACUCAACUACGAAAGCGUGGGGAGCAAACAGGAUUAGAAACCCCGGUAGUCC
rnacentral:rRNA from 1 species